AUGAGUUGCCUGUCAUGGAACUGCUGGGGGCUUGGGAACCCUGAGGCGGUUCGAGAGCUUCACAACAUUGUGAAGCUAGAAGGACCCACUCUUCUCUUCGUCAUGAAAACAAAAAUUAAAGGGAAGAGAGUUGAGGACUGGCAAAGACAUAUAGGCUUCGGCGGGUGCUUUGCAGUGGAUACUGUAGGCCUAAGUGGUGGCAUUGGGCUUUUUUGGUCACAUGAUGUUAUUGUCGAGCUUAAAAAUUAUAGUUCUGGACACAUUGAUGCUUUUGUUAAAUACAAAGAUCAAAACUCCUUUCAAUGGAGGUUCACUGGUUUUUAUGGAGCGCCCCGAGCAGAGGAUAGACAUCAAAGUUGGCAUUUCCUACGUACUUUACAUUCCAUGCUGAAUGUGGCCUGGAUUUGUUUGGGUGAUUUUAAUGAAACUCUCUACGCGAAUGAACACUUCAGUCGGGCAGCUAGGCCAGAGAGGCAAAUGAGAGCUUUCAGAGAAGUCACUGAUGAAGUGGCCCUCCAAGAUUUGGGGUGGUCAGGCACAACGUAUACCUGGGAUAAUCGGCAGGCGGGGGACGCAAAUGUCAAAGCAAGGCUGGAUAGAGUUUUGCCAAUGAAGAGUUCCGGCAACAUUUUCAAUACAUCAGAAUUAGACAUAUACCUUAUGUUGAAUCUGAUCAUUGUUUUGUUCUAG
rnacentral:rRNA from 1 species